rnacentral:rRNA from 1 species
AUGGAGAGUUUGAUCCUGGCUCAGGACGAACGCUGGCGGCGUGCUUAACACAUGCAAGUCGAACGGAUCAUCUUUACUUCGGUUUUGGUGGUUAGUGGCGAACGGGUGAGUAACACGUGAGCAACCUGCCCUUCACUGGGGGAUAACUGUGGGAAACUUCAGCUAAUACCGCAUGUACACCUUCUAUCGCAUGGUGGUUGGUGGAAAGUUUUUUCGGUGGGGGAUGGGCUCGCGGCCUAUCAGCUUGUUGGUGGGGUAAUGGCCUACCAAGGCUUUGACGGGUAGCCGGCCUGAGAGGGCGACCGGCCACACUGGGACUGAGAUACGGCCCAGACUCCUACGGGAGGCAGCAGUGGGGAAUAUUGCACAAUGGACGGAAGUCUGAUGCAGCAACGCCGCGUGCGGGAUGACGGCCUUCGGGUUGUAAACCGCUUUCACCAGGGGCGAAUUUGACGGUACCUGGAGAAGAAGCACCGGCUAACUACGUGCCAGCAGCCGCGGUGAUACGUAGGGUGCGAGCGUUGUCCGGAUUUAUUGGGCGUAAAGAGCUCGUAGGUGGUUUGUUGCGUCGGGAGUGAAAACACGCAGCUUAACUGUGUGCUUGCUUUCGAUACGGGCAGACUUGAGGGAUGUAGGGGAGAACGGAAUUCCUGGUGGAGCGGUGGAAUGCGCAGAUAUCAGGAGGAACACCGGUGGCGAAGGCGGUUCUCUGGACAUUUCCUGACGCUGAGGAGCGAAAGCGUGGGGAGCAAACAGGCUUAGAUACCCUGGUAGUCCACGCCGUAAACGGUGGGCACUAGGUGUGGGGGACUUCCACGUUCUCCGUGCCGUAGCUAACGCAUUAAGUGCCCCGCCUGGGGAGUACGGCCGCAAGGCUAAAACUCAAAGGAAUUGACGGGGGCCCGCACAAGC